rnacentral:lncRNA from 1 species
GGAUAGUUAUUUAUACCUUAAGUUUUGAUGAUAACAAUGUUAUAUUUGUGUGAGAACAAUUUUGGUACCCUAAUGGUUUAUUAUUGUGUAGCUUGAAUAACCAGUUCUGAUUCUGAGUUAAUGACGUGCAACCUUGUCAGUUUCUGAAGAUUUGUUCCGAAUUCCUCUUCUGUGCUAAUCACUUAUGAGAAGUUCUGAAAGACGCCAGGUUACUGCUCCAAUGUUCUUUCUGCUUCUGCGUCGAGUCACUCCUAAGAAGUUCU